rnacentral:lncRNA from 1 species
AGGGGUCAGGAAUUGUUGCAGUAGUGGCAGUAGAAGCUAAUGCAAUGGCAUCAUCAAUGCCAUAUCAAUGGCAACUGGUGAUCUUCUUUCAUCGUGUUCUUCUUGAUCUCUGGGACACUACCUCCUUAGCCUUUGGCUCUUGAUCCCCUCUAUGCUAGCAGUGGAAAAAUCAUGGGAUUGUAGUUUUUUGUUUUUGUUUUUUGAAACAGGGAAGAGUUGCUAGGAUAGGUCUCCCUAUCUCAAGCAAAGUCUCUCAUGUCCCAGCCCCACUACCAAGAAGCAUAGGUGACUCUCUCUAUCUAUUAACGACUGUAAGAUGCUCAAUUGAUCAGUUUUAGCCCAGUUGAAGCUCAGAACUUCUGAGGCCAAGUGAUGCUGUAGCUUCCCCAGGAACAGGGAUCACACAAACCAUGCCUGGGUGAAAUCAUAAACGUAAGAGCUAUAAGGGACCCUACCAAUAGGCAAGACUUUCAUUUUUGCAGACGAAGAGAGCCCAGAGAAAUCAAAAGACUUUCCUGGAAUCACAAACCUACUAAGCAGCAGAACCUGGAUGUGAACAAAGAUCCUCUGAUUCCUCAUCCAGCAUUUAUCCCGAAACACCAUACUGCUUCUCCUCUCUCAUCUUUUUAGUGGCUGCUGUGGAAGCCCUCAACUUUAUUUAGGACAUUCUUCUCUGCCUUGAUCAAACUUAGUUAUGCUUUCUCUCUGUCUUCCUCAUUUCUUUGCCUUUCCAUCUACCCUAUGGUACUUACUCAAGGCAAAAUAAUCAUAUUUCUCUUUCAGAGAAAGUAGCAGUGUUUGGAGGUUUCAACUGCUGGACCGAAAACUGCAAUGUACUGCUUCUCUUCCUGGAGACAGCAAGUCUUUGGGCAUUGUUACCUCACAGGCUCAUAGCAAAAGGAUACUUGGUGAGCCUACUUCUGACCAUGAGUGUCUCAGGGCUGAUGCGAUGUAAAUAGAAGAUUUUUUGUCUGCUGAGGAACCAGAAGGACUGGUGAGGAACCAGAAGGACAAGAGAUCCAGAGCCAGAACUGAUUUUUCACCCAAAGGAUCAAUAUGCCCUUCCUUCGUUCCCUCUUCUUUUGUGUUUUCUUUCAUGGUAAACGCAUGUAAAAGCAAAAACUUACAAUAGUAGCUAGGUAUCUCAGUGGAUAGAGGACCAGAUCUGGAGAUGGAAGAUCCUGGGUUCAAAAUUGACCUCAGAUACUUCCUAGCUGUGUGAUCCUGAGCAAGUCACUCAACCCCAAUUGCCUAGCUC